rnacentral:rRNA from 1 species
AUACGGAGGGUGCAAGCGUUACUUGGAAUCACUGGGCGUAAAGCGCGCGCAGGCGGCUAUUUAAGUUGGAUGUGAAAGCCUACGGCUCAACCGUAGAACUGCAUCCAAAACUAUUUAGCUAGAGUGUGGGAGAGGAAGAUGGAAUUAGUUGUGUAGGGGUAAAAUCCGUAGAGAUAACUAGGAAUACCAAAAGCGAAGGCAAUCUUCUGGAACACUACUGACGCUGAGGCGCGAAAGCGUGGGGAGCAAACAGGAUUAGAAACCCUAGUAGUCC